rnacentral:rRNA from 1 species
UACGUAGGGGGCGAGCGUUGUCCGGAUUCAUUGGGCGUAAGAGCUCGUAGGCGGCUUGGCAAGUCGGAUGUGAAAACUCCAGGCUCAACCUGGAGCCGCCAUUCGAUACUGCUAUGGCUAGAGUCCGGUAGGGGAGUGUGGAAUUCCCGGUGUAGCGGUGAAAUGCGCAGAUAUCGGGAGGAACGACCGGUGGCGCAGGCGGGUCUCUGGGCCGAUACUGGACGCUGAGG